rnacentral:rRNA from 1 species
GUCCACGCCGUAAACUAUGAGAGCUAGCCGUUGGAGGGUUUACCCUUCAGUGGCGCAGCUAACGCAUUAAGCUCUCCGCCUGGGGAGUACGGUCGCAAGAUUAAAACUCAAAGGAAUUGACGGGGCCCGCACAAGCGGUGGAGCAUGUGGUUUAAUUCGAAGCAACGCGAAGAACCUUACCAGCCCUUGACAUCCCGGUCGCGACUUUCAGAGAUGAUCGUCUUCAGUUCGGCUGGACCGGUGACAGGUGCUGCAUGGCUGUCGU